ACAAAGGCCCAUUAUCGACUUCAGUAUAUGUUGAUUUGUGAAACCCUAAGCCCAACACAUCAUCCCCACGCCCUCCGCUCCUGCAGCCGCCGCCCAACCAAGGAUGCCAGCUGCUGCUUACGGCGUCGCUUCUCUCCCCGUCGCGAGCGCGGUGCCGGGCGCUGAAAGACCUCCGAUCGACACCCAGCCCCUUCUCCAUGGCGCGCUGCACGUAGAACUGGGUCGUCAUCGACACGCUGCGUCGUCACCAUGCAUCCUGCCGACAAGCGGGGCGCCAUGGCUCGAAUCCGGCGGCCUCCCUCAGUCUUCCCUCAGAUCUCACAGGUACGGCGAGCUCCCUCCCUCUCCCUCGGCAGCUAAUCAACGAUGGGGUGGUUGUCCUUCUUCUCCCUUGUUGGAUCCAUGCCACAGUGGCCAGAUCGACAACAUGGUGGUGGCCACGGCAUCGAGCGGGCGGGCUGCACGGGUAUGUUCGUGUGUGGUACUCAGCAGAUUGGCUGCUGACUCCAGGUGACCAGUCCUCCCUCAAUCCCUCUCCUCCAACCCCUGAGCCCCGAUGCCUGGCCUCAGAUCUGGCAGCAACGAUAUGGGGAAGGUCUCUGCUGGAUCUGAAUAAGGGAGACAACUACAGAGACUAGGACCAUGAUGCAAUGGAUUUUUUGAAGGAGUGUCACCAUACAGAAAAAAGUUCAAGCCUAUGCACUAGCUACUAGAAUGCUAUUGUAAUAGAUGUGAAGGUCGAUAAGGACCUAUUUUGUGUUUCCUUGUGAUAAUCAGAACAUGUUAUGUUAAUGUACUGGAAAUUGAGUUACUAAAUUGUUGGGCUAUAUGUGAUUUUCAUUA